UACAGAGGGUGCAAGCGUUGUUCGGAAUUACUGGGCGUAAAGCGCGCGCAGGCGGGUUUGUAAGUCGGAAGUGAAAUCUCACUGCUCAACGGUGGGGCUGCUUCUGAUACUGCAAAUCUUGAGACCGGUAGAGGUUGGUAGAAUUGCAGGUGUAGCGGUGGAAUGCGUAGAUAUCAUUUGGAACGCCAACGGUGAAAACAGACAGCUGGGGGUGUCCUGACGCUGAGACGCGAAAGCCAGGGGAGCGAACGGG
rnacentral:rRNA from 1 species